GGCCUGGCGGGGAGCUAAUACAUGCAAGUCGAGCGGACAGAAGGGAGCUUGCUCCCGGAUGUUAGCGGCGGACGGGUGAGUAACACGUGGGUAACCUGCCUGUAAGACUGGGAUAACUCCGGGAAACCGGAGCUAAUACCGGAUAGUUCCUUGAACCGCAUGGUUCAAGGAUGAAAGACGGUUUCGGCUGUCACUUACAGAUGGACCCGCGGCGCAUUAGCUAGUUGGUGAGGUAACGGCUCACCAAGGCGACGAUGCGUAGCCGACCUGAGAGGGUGAUCGGCCACACUGGGACUGAGACACGGCCCAGACUCCUACGGGAGGCAGCAGUAGGGAAUCUUCCGCAAUGGACGAAAGUCUGACGGAGCAACGCCGCGUGAGUGAUGAAGGUUUUCGGAUCGUAAAGCUCUGUUGUUAGGGAAGAACAAGUGCAAGAGUAACUGCUUGCACCUUGACGGUACCUAACCAGAAAGCCACGGCUAACUACGUGCCAGCAGCCGCGGUAAUACGUAGGUGGCAAGCGUUGUCCGGAAUUAUUGGGCGUAAAGGGCUCGCAGGCGGUUUCUUAAGUCUGAUGUGAAAGCCCCCGGCUCAACCGGGGAGGGUCAUUGGAAACUGGGAAACUUGAGUGCAGAAGAGGAGAGUGGAAUUCCACGUGUAGCGGUGAAAUGCGUAGAGAUGUGGAGGAACACCAGUGGCGAAGGCGACUCUCUGGUCUGUAACUGACGCUGAGGAGCGAAAGCGUGGGGAGCGAACAGGAUUAUAUACCCUGGGUAGUCCACGCCGUAAACGAUGAGUGCUAAGUGUUAGGGGGGUUUCCGCCCCCUUAGUGCUGCGGCCUAACGCAUUAAGCACUCCGCCUGGGGAGUACGGUCGCAAGACUGGAGAUUCAAAAGGAAUUGAUCGGGAGGCCCGCACCAAGCGGUGGAGCAUGUGGUUUAAUUCGUAGAAAACGCGGAGAAACCUUACCAGGGUCGUGGACAGUCCUCCGACAACACCUAGAGAAUAGGUCUUGCUCUUCCGGCUACAGAAAGACGAGAGGUGCUUGGCUGUCGUCGCCCUUGCCGUGAGAUAGUGUGUUUAAUACUCAACCAACGCUAACCCCAUCGACCCUUAGUUGUCAUCCCGUUUACAUUGUGCACUACUAUGCG
rnacentral:rRNA from 1 species